GUAGUCAUAUGCUUGUCUCAAAGACUAAGCCAUGCAUGUCUAAGUAUAAAUAACUACACAGUAAAACUGCGAAUGGCUCAUUAAAACAGUUAUAGUUUAUUUGAUACAUUAAAUGGAUAACUGUAGAAAAACUAGAGCUAAUACAUGCCGAGACCACAAGGUUGUAUUUAUUAGAUAUUGUAAUUAAGAUGAAUCAUAAUAACUUCACAAAUCUCGAUAUCAUCGAGAUAAAUCAUCCAAGUUACUGCCCUAUCAGCUUUCGAUGGUAGUGUAUUGGACUACCAUGGCUUUCACGGGUAACAGGGAAUUAGGGUUCGAUUCUGGAGAAGGAGCCUGAGAAACGGCUACUACAUCUACGGAAGGCAGCAGGCGCGUAAAUUACCCAAUCCUGACUCAGGGAGGUGGUGACAAGAUAUAACGACCCGAUUAAUGUCGUGAUUGUAGUGAGGAUAUUCCAAACAGAAUCACAAGAACGAUUAGAGGGCAAGUCUGGUGCCAGCAGCC
rnacentral:rRNA from 1 species